rnacentral:lncRNA from 1 species
UCAACAGCAACGGUAUCUUUUGUUUCUUCUGAUGAUCCGGCAGCUAGUUCGUCGCCCUCGAUUUUGUCUAGAGGUACUGCAUCUUCAACGUUGGAACUUUCGCCUUCCUGAUCAGCCUUGUCUUUGGUUGGUGUCCCGUCAACUUGGUCUUGUCCGUGCAAUGUGGUCUCAUUCUCUGCUUCGUGGACUUGCUCAGCCUCGCGUGGUGUUUCUUCAGCCGCUUCUUUCUUGUCUUGAGCAUCAGACUCUGGCGCAGCAGAUACUUGAUCAGUUCUAUGAUCCUCG